CGAUGCUGGGCCAAUUGUGCACCGCCCCGGUCUGCUGCGACAGAGCCUGGACUCAAACCAGGAUAUCUAGUGACCACUGUGCCACUCGGGAGGCCCCAUCUGUUGUUAAACUCGAGUGAUGAAUAAGACCUAGAGCUUUUGUAAAUUCACAUGAUUAACACAUGAUGUCAAUCCAGAUCUGAAUGUUUGAUAUCCUUUCUACUAUACACUGUUGAUAGUAGUUGAUGCCAAAGCUAACCUUUGAGAGUACACAGUGGCUAAUCUUUGUCCUACUACAAGGACUCGGUCAGCUUGACAAACUUUUGCGUCAUAUGAACACACACACACACCCCAUGGGUUGCCAUGGCGAGUACACUGAGCAGUCUGGAAAAGCUCAUAUUGUGCAUUAAGUGACUGAAUGCAACAAAAAAGAAACAGCACAGUGACAUGAUCACACAGUUCACUCUACGCCUCUCAAUUACACGCUCACUCACUCUCAUAGUUUAGCUUUAUGAUUAUUCUCAUUUAAGGUAAUUGGGCCUCAAUUACAGGAGAGGAAUGACAUGCAUGACCUGGCUCUCCUCUGCUGAGACUGAUCCGGGCCCAGCAGCGCAGGCCCAGCUUUAACAGUGGUCCUCCCUACAGGUUGGCCUGUUCCCCUCCCCUUUGGCACCAGCUCCUGACACGACAAAAGAGGAUUGCUCUGAAGCAUUCCUGCUGGAUACAGAUCUGCCACUGCCCUUGAAAGCUUCUCCACUGGGCCCAUCAAGAGAUGAGGUUGCCUUUUCAUCUUAGACCACGGCCCAUGGACAGAGCCCAUUAGAACUGCCAGUGAUGUCCUACUGGUCAAGCACCACGGGGAGGAAGUGACCCUGAAGUGGGUGGAUCUGCUUUGCUGCAGAGAGUUUGUUUGUUACUGCAGAAAGUACCGUAAUGCCACAUCCCCUUCCACCUGCACUUACACAGCAAAAAAACUCACCAAUUCAAGGAUACCAUUUGAGGAUUUUGCUGCGGCUGCCUUCUUUCAAUGGGAGCUGGAGGCCUCGAUGCAGAGGAAGGAGUGAGGAAUGGACGAACUGAGAAAAGAGAAAAUCCUUAGAGCAGCAUCCCUCCGGCCGUCUGUACAGGUUCUACCACCAGCCGCUGAAACAAGGCCCCAACAGCCCUCACACACAUACCGGCUUUCCUUGAGUGGGAGGAAAAUAUCUACUGCCUAGCCAAAGUGUUUUCCCUGUACCUUGCCUUUUAUGAGACUGAAAGAUAGAGAUGGAUGGUGAAGAAGGGGGGGGGGUGUCUCUACAGACACACACACACAGAAGUAAAUAGGAGCUGAAAAUCUAUUUCCAUUCAUGGAAGUGGUUAAGACUCGUUUGAUUUGUAUUUAUUUCACAGGUACUGUCCAUUCUUUUACAUUAUUGUACAUACAUUGCUGGAUAUCACUGUAUAUAUUAUUGUCCAUUACUAUUUUGUGUAAAUGUUGCACAAAGGCCAACCUUUUAUUCUAAUUGUGGUGAGUAUGUCUUGUAUUAUAAACUAAUUGCUAUAGUUAGUGUGUGAAUAAGUUUGUUGUAUUAAGGGUUGUGCUCCAACACUAUCAUAACUAUGGCUUUGAUUUCAUUCGAAUCAACCUCAAAGUAAUCUUCUCUAUGAGCUGCUUUAGAGUUGUCUUUAUGAGUAAGAUACAUGCCUUUCCAUUGUGCUCUAACACAUAAAUUUGCCUUUGAUUUCAUUCUAUUAAACCUCAACGUAAAGCAA